rnacentral:rRNA from 1 species
GCUUAGAGUUGAUCCUGGCUCAGAACGAACGGUGGCGGUGUGCCUACUACAUGCAAGUCGAGCGGCUUCGGGUGACCGGAGCGAGCGGCGGACGGGUGAGUAAAGUAUAGAUAACCUGCCCUCGAGAGGGGGAUAGCAUCCUGAAAGGGGUGGUAAUACCGCAUAAAGUUAUGUUCAGGCAUCUGAAGAUAAUGAAAGUGGGGGAUCAGGAAUGACCUCACGCUCGAGGAGGGGUCUAUAUCCUAUUAGCUAGUUGGUAGGGUAAAGGCCUACCAAGGCAAUGAUGGGUAGCCGGCCUGAGAGGGUGAUCGGCCACAUGGGCACUGAGACACGGGCCCGACUCCUACGGGAGGCAGCAGUAGGGAAUAUUGGGCAAUGGGCGCAAGCCUGACCCAGCGACACCGCGUGGAGGAAGAAGGCCUUCGGGUUGUAAACUCCUAACAAGUUCUGAGAAAGCUAUACAUACUAAUAAUAUGUAUAGAGAGACAAGGGACUAGAUGAAGUCAUGGCUAACUCUGUGCCAGCAGCCGCGGUAAUACAGAGAUGGCAACCGUUGUUCGGAAUUACUGGGCUUAAAGGGCACGUAGGCGGGGGUUUAAGUUGGUUGUGAAAGCCCAUGAGUUAUGCAUGGAAAGUCAACCGAAACUGAAUCUCUUGAGGCCAGUAGGGGAGAGUGGAAUUCCUGGUGGAGCGGUGAAAUGCGUUGAUAUCAGGAGGAACGCCGGAGGCGAAGGCGACUCUCUGGGCUGGACCUGACGCUGAGGUGCGAAAGCCAGGGGAGCAAACGGGAUUAGAUACCCCGGUAGUCCUGGCCGUAAACGAUGGGCACUAAGUAGGGGAGAGAUUCCCUGCCGUAGCGAAAGUGCCUAAGUGCCCCGCCUGGGGAGUAUGGUCGCAAGGCUGAAACUCAAAGGAAUUG